rnacentral:rRNA from 1 species
AUACGGAGGGGGCUAGCGUUGUUCGGAAUUACUGGGCGUAAAGCGCGUGUAGGCGGAUCGUUAAGUCAGGGGUGAAAGCCCGGAGCUCAACUCCGGAAUUGCCCUUGAUACUGGCGAUCUAGAGGCCGCGAGAGGUGAGCGGAAUUCCCAGUGUAGAGGUGAAAUUCGUAGAUAUUGGGAGGAACACCAGUGGCGAAGGCGGCUCACUGGCCCGGUUCUGACGCUGAGACGCGAAAGCGUGGGGAGCAAACAGGAUUAGAAACCCUAGUAGUCC